rnacentral:rRNA from 1 species
AAGUGCGAAUGCUGACAUAAGUAACGAUAAAGCGGGUGAAAAGCCCGCUCGCCGGAAGACCAAGGGUUCCUGUCCAACGUUAAUCGGGGCAGGGUGAGUCGACCCCUAAGGCGAGGCCGAAAGGCGUAGUCGAUGGGAAACAGGUUAAUAUUCCUGUACUUGGUGUUACUGCGAAGGGGGGACGGAGAAGGCUAUGUUGGCCGGGCGACGGUUGUCCCGGUUUAAGCGUGUAGGCUGGUUUUCCAGGCAAAUCCGGAAAAUCAAGGCUGAGGCGUGAUGACGAGGCACUACGGUGCUGAAGCAACAAAUGCCCUGCUUCCAGGAAAAGCCUCUAAGCAUCAGGUAACAUCAAAUCGUACCCCAAACCGACACAGGUGGUCAGGUAGAGAAUACCAAGGCGCUUGAGAGAACUCGGGUGAAGGAACUAGGCAAAAUGGUGCCGUAACUUCGGGAGAA